UUAUAAUGUGUUAUAUUUAUGUACAAAAGUUUGUCUUUAACAUUGAGUUUUCCCUUCUCAUCUUAGAAAUCUUUGAUAUGAGUUGAUGUGCCUAUAUGGAAAUAAGUAGUCAUUCUUUGGGGAGAUGUAAAGUGCAAUACCAGAAACCUUGAAUAACACUAUCAGUUCCCUGUGAAGUGCCACUAGUGAUGCUGGAAUUUCUGCCAAGAAGCAGAGAAAAGUCCUGACGUUACAAGAAAAUGUUGAAUAAUGUUGAAUUGCUUGAUAUGUACAAUGGACUGGGGAUCUGCAGCUGUGGUUGCUCACCAUUUCAAGAUAAAUGAAUCCAGCAUGAGGACCAUUCUAAAAAAGGAAAAGGAAAUUCAUGAAGCUGUCACUGAAGCUAUGCCAGCAGGUGCUAAAAUCUUGCACUUUUUGCAAAAUACCCUUUUAUCUUGUUUUGAAAAUACAGCUUUCAUGUGGGUACAGGAUUCCUAUGAGAAAGACAUAUCCAUAGACUAUAAUGAUUUGAGAAAAUGUGAAGUCAUUAUAUGACAACUUAAAGCAAAAGGAAGGUGAAGGAUCUAAAGCUGGAGAAUUUAAUGCCAGCAAAGGAUGGUCUGAUAAUUUUAGACAGGUGUUUGGCUUUAAAAAUAUCAAGAUAACAAGAGAAGCAGCUUCUGCUGACCAAGAAGCAGCAGACAAGUUCUCAGCCACCAUUAAGAAAAUCAUUGAGAAGAAAGGAUAUCUACCUGAGGUGUUUAAUGUAGACAAAAGUGCUUGACUCUUGGGGAAAAAAAUGCCACAAAGGACAUUUAUUAGUAAGGAAGACAUGAGUGCCUCCGACUAUGAGUAGUCAGACCAUGAGGAAGAAGACAUAGAAGAACCAGUGCCAGAAAACAAAUUGACAGACAAUCUGGCAGAAGGGUUCUGACUGUUCAAGACUGCUUUUGACUACUUCUGACACAGACCCUUCUAUGAAACAAGCACUGAAACUAAAGCAAACAAUGGAAGAAGGAUUGGUACAAUACAGAAACAUUGUUAGAGAAAUGAAAAAGAAAUAAACAAAUUAUGAUGUAUUUCCAUAAAGUUACACCAAGUAUGCCUACCUCUCUCUUGCCUCUCCUUCAACCUCCUUCAUGUAUUCUGCCUCUGCCACCCCAAGACAGCAAUACCCACCCCUCCUCUUCCUCCUUCUCAGCCUACUCAACACAAAGACAACACGGAUGAAGACCUUUAUGAUAAUUCACUUUCAUUUAAUGACAUGUAGGACAUGCCUGCUUCCUCUUUGCCUUCCACCAU